rnacentral:tRNA from 1 species
GGCUCCGUGGUGUAGUUGAUAUCGCAUUGGCCUAGAAUGCCGAAGACGCUGGUUCGAAUCCAGCCGGUGCCC